AGACCCGAAACCCGGUGAUCUAGCCAUGGGCAGGUUGAAGGUUGGGUAACACUAACUGGAGGACCGAACCGACUAAUGUUGAAAAAUUAGCGGAUGACCUGUGGCUGGGGGUGAAAGGCCAAUCAAACCGGGAGAUAGCUGGUUCUCCCCGAAAGCUAUUUAGGUAGCGCCUCGUGAAUUCAUCUCCGGGGGUAGAGCACUGUUUCGGCUAGGGGGCCAUCCCGGCUUACCAACCCGAUGCAAACUGCGAAUACCGGAGAAUGUUAUCACGGGAGACACACGGCGGGUGCUAACGUCCGUCGUGAAGAGGGAAACAACCCAGACCGCCAGCUAAGGUCCCAAAGUCAUGGUUAAGUGGGAAACGAUGUGGGAAGGCCCAGACAGCCAGGAUGUUGGCUUAGAAGCAGCCAUCAUUUAAAGAAAGCGUAAUAGCUCACUGGUCGAGUCGGCCUGCGCGGAAGAUGUAACGGGGCUAAACCAUGCACCGAAGCUGCGGCAGCGACGCUUAUGCGUUGUUGGGUAGGGGAGCGUUCUGUAAGCCUGCGAAGGUGGCCUGUGAGGGUUGCUGGAGGU
rnacentral:rRNA from 1 species